rnacentral:rRNA from 1 species
CCUACGGGAGGCAGCAGUGGGGAAUAUUGGACAAUGGGCGAAAGCCUGAUCCAGCAAUGCCGCGUGAGUGAUGAAGGCCUUCGGGUCGUAAAGCUCUUUUACCAGGGAUGAUAAUGACAGUACCUGGAGAAUAAGCUCCGGCUAACUCCGUGCCAGCAGCCGCGGUAAUACGGAGGGAGCUAGCGUUGUUCGGAAUUACUGGGCGUAAAGAGUACGUAGGCGGUUAUUCAAGUCAGAGGUGAAAGCCCGGGGCUCAACCCCGGAACUGCCUUUGAAACUAGAUAACUAGAGUCUUGGAGAGGUUAGUGGAAUUCCGAGUGUAGAGGUGAAAUUCGUAGAUAUUCGGAAGAACACCAGUGGCGAAGGCGACUAACUGGACAAGUACUGACGCUGAGGUACGAAAGCGUGGGAGCAAACAGGAUUAGAUACCCUGGUAGUCCACGCCGUAAACGAUGAUAACUAGUUGUUCGGUCACUUGGUGACUGAGUGACGCAGCUAACGCAUUAAGUUAUCCGCCUGGGGAUACGGUCGCAAGNUUAAAACUCAAAUGAAAUUGAACGG